GACGAACGCUGGCGGCGUGCCUAAUACAUGCCAGUAGAACGCACAGUUUAUACCGUAGCUUGCUACACCAUAGACUGUGAGUUGCGAACGGGUGAGUAACGCGUAGGUAACCUGCUUGGUAGCGGGGGAUAACUAUUGGAAACGAUAGCUAAUACCGCAUAAUAUUAAUUAUUGCAUGAUAAUUAAUUGAAAGGUGCAAUUGCACCACUACCAGAUGGACCUGCGUUGUAUUAGCUAGUAGGUGAGGUAACGGCUCACCUAGGCGACGAUACAUAGCCGACCUGAGAGGGUGAUCGGCCACACUGGGACUGAGACACGGCCCAGACUCCUACGGGAGGCAGCAGUAGGGAAUCUUCGGCAAUGGACGAAAGUCUGACCGGGCAACGCCGCGUGAGUGAAGAAGGGUUUCGGAUCGUAAAGCUCUGUUGUAAGAGAAGAACGGGUGUGAGAGUGGAAAGUUCACACUGUGACGGUAUCUUACCAGAAAGGGACGGCUAACUACGUG
rnacentral:rRNA from 1 species